AUUUAGUUGACAUAUAAAAAAAAUAGAUUGAACUUGAUCAGUUAAUCAUAAUCUUUCCACUGAUUUUAUCAUGUCAGAUAAAAAAAGACUAGAUUCAAGCCAGUCAUGGCAGCUAAAUCAGUUGCACUGAUCAACCUAUGCAGUAUGGAUUUAGCAUGAAUUAAUAAAGAAUCAAAUCAAAAGUCGAUUCACCAUAUUAAUCAGAUAAGU
rnacentral:lncRNA from 1 species